rnacentral:rRNA from 1 species
AAAUUGAAGAGUUUGAUCAUGGCUCAGAUUGAACGCUGGCGGCAGGCCUAACACAUGCAAGUCGAGCGGUAGCACAGAGAGCUUGCUCUCGGGUGACGAGCGGCGGACGGGUGAGUAAUGUCUGGGAAACUGCCUGAUGGAGGGGGAUAACUACUGGAAACGGUAGCUAAUACCGCAUAAUGUCGCAAGACCAAAGUGGGGGACCUUCGGGCCUCAUGCCAUCAGAUGUGCCCAGAUGGGAUUAGCUAGUAGGUGGGGUAACGGCUCACCUAGGCGACGAUCCCUAGCUGGUCUGAGAGGAUGACCAGCCACACUGGAACUGAGACACGGUCCAGACUCCUACGGGAGGCAGCAGUGGGGAAUAUUGCACAAUGGGCGCAAGCCUGAUGCAGCCAUGCCGCGUGUGUGAAGAAGGCCUUCGGGUUGUAAAGCACUUUCAGCGGGGAGGAAGGCGAUAAGGUUAAUAACCUCAUCGAUUGACGUUACCCGCAGAAGAAGCACCGGCUAACUCCGUGCCAGCAGCCGCGGUAAUACGGAGGGUGCAAGCGUUAAUCGGAAUUACUGGGCGUAAAGCGCACGCAGGCGGUCUGUCAAGUCGGAUGUGAAAUCCCCGGGCUCAACCUGGGAACUGCAUUCGAAACUGGCAGGCUAGAGUCUUGUAGAGGGGGGUAGAAUUCCAGGUGUAGCGGUGAAAUGCGUAGAGAUCUGGAGGAAUACCGGUGGCGAAGGCGGCCCCCUGGACAAAGACUGACGCUCAGGUGCGAAAGCGUGGGGAGCAAACAGGAUUAGAUACCCUGGUAGUCCACGCCGUAAACGAUGUCGAUUUGGAGGUUGUGCCCUUGAGGCGUGGCUUCCGGAGCUAACGCGUUAAAUCGACCGCCUGGGGAGUACGGCCGCAAGGUUAAAACUCAAAUGAAUUGACGGGGGCCCGCACAAGCGGUGGAGCAUGUGGUUUAAUUCGAUGCAACGCGAAGAACCUUACCUGGUCUUGACAUCCACAGAACUUUCCAGAGAUGGAUUGGUGCCUUCGGGAACUGUGAGACAGGUGCUGCAUGGCUGUCGUCAGCUCGUGUUGUGAAAUGUUGGGUUAAGUCCCGCAACGAGCGCAACCCUUAUCCUUUGUUGCCAGCGGUUCGGCCGGGAACUCAAAGGAGACUGCCAGUGAUAAACUGGAGGAAGGUGGGGAUGACGUCAAGUCAUCAUGGCCCUUACGACCAGGGCUACACACGUGCUACAAUGGCAUAUACAAAGAGAAGCGACCUCGCGAGAGCAAGCGGACCUCAUAAAGUAUGUCGUAGUCCGGAUUGGAGUCUGCAACUCGACUCCAUGAAGUCGGAAUCGCUAGUAAUCGUAGAUCAGAAUGCUACGGUGAAUACGUUCCCGGGCCUUGUACACACCGCCCGUCACACCAUGGGAGUGGGUUGCAAAAGAAGUAGGUAGCUUAACCUUCGGGAGGGCGCUUACCACUUUGUGAUUCAUGACUGGGGUGAAGUCGUAACAAGGUAACCGUAGGGGAACCUGCGGUUGGAUCACCUCCUUACCUUAAAGAA